UCCAGCCUGGUGACAGCAAGACUCUGUCUCAAAAAAAAAAAAAGAAAGAAAGAAAAAGAAAUGCAUGAUAUAGGAAAGCCCUAGUCUAUUUUCAAACUAAAAGUUACUACUACACCCCUUCAUUUCCUGAGUUUGUUCUUUCAUUUUACCUCUCAUAGUCAUACUCUCAAAGGCUUACAUAACCUAGGCAGAAAACACUGCAAAAAGAACACUGAACACCUGUUGAGAAACAAGGUAGUUUUAUUUCUUGGAAUUGCAAGAGCUAUAUAGAUAUUUUGUGACCUUAACACUAUUUAGCUAUCACCCAUGAGCAAACCAAAGCAUGUUCUUAACCACUAUACUACCCUUAAGUCAGAAAUGCCACUCCUGGGACUGUAUCCUGAACAAGCUUAGGUCAGAUCUAAAAAUUUAA